GGUUCGAUUCCGGCUCGAAGGACUU
rnacentral:piRNA from 1 species